UACGUAGGGCGCAAGCGUUGUCCGGAAUUAUUGGGCGUAAAGAGCUCGUAGGCGGCUUGUCGCGUCUGCUGUGAAAUCUGGGGGCUCAACCCCCAGCCUGCAGUGGGUACGGGCAGACUAGAGUGCGGUAGGGGAGAUUGGAAUUCCUGGUGUAGCGGUGGAAUGCGCAGAUAUCAGGAGGAACACCAAUGGCGAAGGCAGAUCUCUGGGCCGUAACUGACGCUGAGGAGCGAAAGCAUGGGGAGCGAACAGG
rnacentral:rRNA from 1 species